GAAAAACUUAAGCAUAUCAAUAAGCGGAGGAAAAGAAACUAACAAGGAUUCCCCUAGUAACUGCGAGUGAAGCGGGAAAAGCUCAAAUUUAAAAUCUGGCAGUCUUUGGCUGUCCGAGUUGUAAUCUGGAGAAGUGCUUUCCGCGCUGGACCGUGUACAAGUCUCUUGGAAUAGAGCGUCGUAGAGGGUGAGAAUCCCGUCUUUGACACGGACUACCAGUGCUUUGUGAUGCGCUUUCAAAGAGUCGAGUUGUUUGGGAAUGCAGCUCAAAAUGGGUGGUAAAUUCCAUCUAAAGCUAAAUAUUGGCGAGAGACCGAUAGCGAACAAGUACCGUGAGGGAAAGAUGAAAAGCACUUUGGAAAGAGAGUUAAACAGUACGUGAAAUUGCUGAAAGGGAAACGCUUGAAGUCAGUCGCGUUGUUCAGAACUCAGCCUGGCUUUGGCUUGGUGCAUUUUCUGAGUAACGGGCCAGCAUCAAUUUUGACUGUUGGAUAAAGGCUGAGGAAAUGUGGCUCCUUUGGGAGUGUUAUAGUCCUUGGUUGCAUACAAUGGUUGGGAUUGAGGAACUCAGCAUGCCUUUAUGGUCGGGGUUCGCCCACGUUCAUGCUUAGGAUGCUGGCGUAAUGGCUUUAAACGACCCGUCUUGAAACACGGACCAAGGAGUCUAACAUGCCUGCGAGUGUUUGGGUGGAAAACCCGAGCGCGCAAUGAAAGUGAAAGUUGGGAUCUCUGUCGCGGAGAGCACCGACGCCCGGACCAGACCUUCUGUGACGGAUCCGCGGUAGAGCAUGUAUGUUGGGACCCGAAAGAUGGUGAACUAUGCCUGAAUAGGGUGAAGCCAGAGGAAACUCUGGUGGAGGCUCGUAGCGAUUCUGACGUGCAAAUCGAUCGUCAAAUUUGGGUAUAGGGGCGAAAGACUAAUCGAACCCUCUUUGCCC
rnacentral:rRNA from 1 species